rnacentral:rRNA from 1 species
GGUAAAUGGCCGCGGUAACCUGACCGUGCUAAGGUAGCAUAAUCAUUUGCCAUUUAAUUGGUGGCUAGAAUAAAUGAAUACACGAAAGUUAAGCUGUCUCAUUUUUAUACAUAAAAAUUGACCCCCUGGUGAAGAGACCAGUAUUAAACAAAAAGACGAAAAGACCCUAUAGAGCUUUACC